rnacentral:tRNA from 1 species
CGCGGAGUAGAGCAGUUGACAGCUCGCCGGGCUCAUUCCCCGGAGGUCGCAGGUUUGAGCCCUGCCUCCGCCA